GACGAACGCUGGCGGCGUGCUUAACACAUGCAAGUCGAACGGGAAGGCCCUGCUUUUGUGGGGUGCUCGAGUGGCGAACGGGUGAGUAACACGUGAGUAACCUGCCCUUGACUUUGGGAUAACUUCAGGAAACUGGGGCUAAUACCGGAUAGGAGCUCCUGCUGCAUGGUGGGGGUUGGAAAGUUUCGGCGGUUGGGGAUGGACUCGCGGCUUAUCAGCCUGUUGGUGGGGUAGUGGCUUACCAAGGCUUUGACGGGUAGCCGGCCUGAGAGGGUGACCGGCCACAUUGGGACUGAGAUACGGCCCAGACUCCUACGGGAGGCAGCAGUGGGGAAUAUUGCACAAUGGGCGGAAGCCUGAUGCAGCAACGCCGCGUGCGGGAUGACGGCCUUCGGGUUGUAAACCGCUUUCGCCUGUGACGAAGCGUGAGUGACGGCAAUGGGUAAAGAAGCACCGGCUAACUACGUG
rnacentral:rRNA from 1 species